rnacentral:rRNA from 1 species
UACAGAGGUCUCAAGCGUUGUUCGGAUUCAUUGGGCGUAAAGGGGGCGUAGGCGGCGUGGUAAGUCGGGUGUGAAAUCUCGGAGCUUAACUCCGAAACUGCAUUCGAUACUGCCGUGCUUGAGGACUGGAGAGGAGACUGGAAUUUACGGUGUAGCGGUGAAAUGCGUAGAUAUCGUAAGGAAGACCAGUGGCGAAGGCGGGUCUCUGGACAGUUCCUGACGCUGAGAAGCGAAAGCGUGGGGAGCGAACAGG